GCGGCGUGCCUAAUACAUGCAAGUCGAACGAAGCUUUCUUUCACCGAAUGCUUGCAUUCACCGAAAGAAGCUUAGUGGCGAACGGGUGAGUAACACGUAGGCAACCUGCCCAAAAGAGGGGGAUAACACUUGGAAACAGGUGCUAAUACCGCAUAACCAUGAACACCGCAUGAUGUUCAUGUAAAAGACGGCUUUUGCUGUCACUUUUGGGAUGGGCCCUGCGGCGUAUUAACUUGUUGGUGGGGUAACGGCCUACCAAGGUGAUGAUACGUAGCCGAACUGAGAGGUUGAUCGGCCACAUUGGGACUGAGACACGGCCCAAACUCCUACGGGAGGCAGCAGUAGGGAAUCUUCCACAAUGGACGAAAGUCUGAUGGAGCAACGCCGCGUGAAUGAAGAAGGCCUUCGGGUCGUAAAAUUCUGUUGUCAGAGAAGAACGUGCGUGAGAGUAACUGUUCACGUAUUGACGGUAUCUGACCAGAAAGCCACGGCUAACUACGUGCCAGCAGCCGCGGUAAUACGUAGGUGGCGAGCGUUGUCCGGAUUUAUUGGGCGUAAAGGGAACGCAGGCGGUCUUUUAAGUCUGAUGUGAAAGCCUUCGGCUUAACCGAAGUAGUGCAUUGGAAACUGGAAGACUUGAGUGCAGAAGAGGAGAGUGGAACUCCAUGUGUAGCGGUGAAAUGCGUAGAUAUAUGGAAGAACACCAGUGGCGAAAGCGGCUCUCUGGUCUGUAACUGACGCUGAGGUUCGAAAGCGUGGGUAGCAAACAGGAUUAGAUACCCUGGUAGUCCACGCCGUAAACGAUGAGUGCUAAGUGUUGGAGGGUUUCCGCCCUUCAGUGCUGCAGCUAACGCAUUAAGCACUCCGCCUGGGGAGUACGGUCGCAAGACUGAAACUCAAAGGAAUUGACGG
rnacentral:rRNA from 1 species